rnacentral:rRNA from 1 species
AGUGAACGCUGGCGGUAGGCCUAACACAUGCAAGUCGAACGGCAGCACGGUAAGAGCUUGCUCUUACGGGUGGCGAGUGGCGGACGGGUGAGGAAUACAUCGGAAUCUACUUUUUCGUGGGGGAUAACGUAGGGAAACUUACACUAAUACCGCAUACGACCUACGGGUGAAAGCAGGGGAUCUUCGGACCUUGCGCGAUUGAAUGAGCCGAUGUCGGAUUAGCUAGUUGGCGGGGUAAAGGCCCACCAAGGCGACGAUCCGUAGCUGGUCUGAGAGGAUGAUCAGCCACACUGGAACUGAGACACGGUCCAGACUCCUACGGGAGGCAGCAGUGGGGAAUAUUGGACAAUGGGCGCAAGCCUGAUCCAGCCAUACCGCGUGGGUGAAGAAGGCCUUCGGGUUGUAAAGCCCUUUUGUUGGGAAAGAAAAGCAGCAGGUUAAUACCCCGCUGUUCUGACGGUACCCAAAGAAUAAGCACCGGCUAACUUCGUG